UUUUACAAUUAUAUGUGCGUACAUCACCCAAUCUCAUCUGAUAUCAGAAGCUAAGCUAAGCAGAGUCAGGCCUGGUUAGUCCAGGGAGAGGAAACCAAAAGAGAAUAGCAUGGAUCUUCAGAU
rnacentral:rRNA from 1 species